rnacentral:piRNA from 1 species
UGAGUGUUGAGGAAACUCCUCUUGAGUUGC